GUUUUUAUUUUUGAGAACAUUCUCUGAUGUGUAACUUGUUUUCAUAAGUCAUACUUUUUCUGGCUUUUUUUUUUUACAAUAUAUUCUUUAAAUAUAAAAAUCGACAAGAUAAAUACAAUUUUAUCUAGCCUAUUUGUGGUUUUUCUAAGAUCCAUCAUUGGUUUUAUAAAAAAGUACCAGGCCAGGAAGCAAUGGUGAGAGUAAUUUUCCCUUUGAGUUCUUUGAGCAUCCUCGCUAAGCAGGCGUGCAUCAUCCCCGACGUGCUUCUGCCGUUGACAGCAAGAAGAAUGUCACCACAUCUGAAAAGAUACGGCAUUGUGAUCAGAACUGCUUCAAGCCUGAAGCGCCUCAAAGUGGACUUGGGUGGCCCUAGGGCUGCCAUAUUUGUCCUUUUUAGUUCUGAUUUGAUUUCCCUCUUCCCAUAAAUUCUCCAAGCUCCACGCAGCGUGCAUCAAAGGUAUAGGAAAUUGCAAGGUGGGACCAAGGCCGGUUCUAGUUUUGGAUUUCUCUCUACCUAGCUAGUGCUCUCGUGUCUUAAUUUCUCACUCUUUAGGAAAGUAUAAGCUGCGCUUUCUUCCAAGUGGGGCCAAGUUUUACAUGUAGAAAGCAAAAUACUUGAAUAUUAGUUUUCUGAGUAAUCAUUACCUAAUUCUUCCAUCAUUAUACGCGGGUGUUCCCUCGACGAUGGAUUUGAUAAAAAAAGGUUGGUUACCACUGUAUUCUUCAUAACCUCCCACAAUGCAGAAGCCCAGGCUUCCCGCUGUGUUCCUUCGUAGUAUCACAUCCUUACAGUUAUAUAAGUACCUGAAACAGAAUGUAAUUAGUGGAUGUACAGUUGAGUUUACUAGUUGUGACUCCUUUCAUUCAUUUUUUUGGGGGACACUUUUAAAAUGAAAAAUACUGCAUAUGUCUCCAUCAGAAGUGACAGCAACUUUUUAUGCUCUUAGUCAGCUUUUGCAUUUGAUCUCUCUUUUCCAUAGCCAAAUACCCUUUCAACAAAAGGAGUUAGUAUUAUGUUCUAUUCAUGUCUCUGCUGAGAAAAAUGGCCACAUAUUUUGGUUAAGGCGCAGUAAUGAAUGCAUGAGCCAAAAGUUGGAUGUGUCUCAGUACUUCUUAUUCCCCACAGUAGAACAUACUGAGGGAAUAUCAUUUUUAUAUUCUUGGGGGCUUACAUAAUUUGUAAAGAAGACAAACAUUCUCUGAAUUAGCGAUUAAUCGCAAGGACAAUAAUUUUAACUUAUGCUAAUGAACUUAUACUCACACAGACUUAGAGAAGACUAGAGAAAGUGAAUGGAAAUUGGGCCAUAAAAUAGUGGAGCAGUUGUCGGACAGUAAGUGGCAUAGCUGAAGCAGUCAGGGGAAGGGAAGGAGCACAGCUGGCCUGAGAGCCAGUACAGCCUUCAGCUGGGAUAGCCGCGGCUAAGUGUGAGCAGCUGCACUACAGUAGACUGUCGGAAGAUGGGGUCGCUCUGGGACCCCUUGUCUGCCGCAUGUGUCUAGGAACUGCUUUUGACUGGAAGAUAGUAUUUUUUGUUGUUAGAAUUGAAGAUGUCUUGUUUAUAGACUGUACCUUAAAAUAAUCAGUUGCUUUUUGAUAAUCAAUAAAAAUGAUCUUGUGAAAUAUUAA
rnacentral:lncRNA from 1 species